UAGGGAAUCUUCCGCAAUGGACGCAAGUCUGACGGAGCAACGCCGCGUGAGUGAAGAAGGAUUUCGGUUCGUAAAACUCUGUUGUUAGAGAAGAACAGCGCAUAGAGUAACUGUUAUGCGUGUGACGGUAUCUAACCAGAAAGCCACGGCUAACUACGUGCCAGCAGCCGCGGUAAUACGUAGGUGGCGAGCGUUGUCCGGAUUUAUUGGGCGUAAAGCGAGCGCAGGCGGUCAAUUAAGUCUGAUGUGAAAGCCCCCGGCUCAACCGGGGAGGGUCAUUGGAAACUGGUUGACUUGAGUGCAGAAGAGGAGAGUGGAAUUCCAUGUGUAGCGGUGAAAUGCGUAGAUAUAUGGAGGAACACCAGUGGCGAAGGUGACUCUCUGGUCUGUAACUGACGCUGAGGCUCGAAAGCGUGGGUAGCAAACAGG
rnacentral:rRNA from 1 species